UUGAGUUUUGCUUUAUUGUUAAGUUAAGGAAUACUGCUUCUCUGUGAGAAUUCGCAGGAGACCUGAUUGACUGGCAAACUCAAGAAUGGAAGAAGAAAUUGCAAACCAAAAAAGUUGAAAAUACAGUAUUCUCCCUUCUCCAAUCCAUGUGAUCCGUACAACCUUGAGAGGUGGAUAUUAUCACAUCAAGUUUUCAGAUGAAAAAACUGAAACUCAGGAAAGUUCUGCACAGCAAAGGAAACCAGAAGUAAAACAAGAAGACAACCUACGGAAUGGGAGAAAAUUUUUGCAAAUGAAACCGACAAAGGCUUAAUCUCCAGAAUAUAUAAGCAGCUCAUACGACUCAAUAAGAAAAAAAUAAACAACCCAAUCCAAAAAUGGGCAGAAGACCUAAACAAGCAAUUCUCCAAGGAAGACAUACAAAUGAUCAAAAGGCACAUGAAAAAAUGCUCAAUAUCACUAAUUAUCAGAGAAAUGCAAAUCAAAACUUCCAUGAGGUAUCACCACACACCAGUCAGAACGGCCAUCAUUCUAAAGUCCACAAAUGACAAAUGCUGGAGAGGCUGUGGAGAAAGGGGAACCCUCCUACACUGCUGGUGGGGAUGCAGUUUGGUGCAGCCACUAUGGAAAACAGUGUGGAGAUUCCUCAAAAGACUAGGAAUAGACUUACCAUAUGACCCAGGAAUCCCACUCCUGGGCUUGUAUCCAGAAGGAACCCUACUUCAGGAUGACACCUGCACCCCAAUGUUCAUAGCAGCACUAUUUACAAUAGCCAAAACAUGGAAACAGCCUAAAUGUCCAUCAACAGGUGACUGGAUAAAGAAGAGGUGGUAUAUUUAUACAAUGGAAUACUACUCAGCCAUAAAAACCGACAACAUAAUGCCAUUUGCAGCAACAUGGAUGUCCCUGGAGAAUGUCAUUCUAAGUGAAGUAAGCCAGAAAGAGAAAGAAAAAUACUGUAGGAGAGUGCUCAUAUGUGGAAUCUAAAAAACAAACAAACAAACAAAAACAAAGCAUAAAUACAGGACAGAAAUAGACUCAUAGACAGAGAAUACAGACUUGUGGUUGCCAGCGGGGUGGAGGGUGGGAAGGGAUAGACUGGGAUUUCAGAAUUGUAGAAUAGAUAAACAAGAUUACACUGUAUAGCACAGGGAAAUAUACACAAAAUGUUAUGAUAACUCACAGAGAGAAAAAUGUGACAAUGAGUGUGUAUAUGUCCAUGAAUGACUGAAAAAUUGUGCUGAACACUGGAA